rnacentral:rRNA from 1 species
ACAGAACGACGCUGGCGGCAUGCCUAACACAUGCAAGUCGAACGAGACCUUCGGGUCUAGUGGCGCACGGGUGCGUAACACGUGGGAAUUUGCCUCGGGGUAUGGAAUAACUCAGGGAAACUUGAGCUAAUACCAUAUAAUGUCUUCGGACCAAAGAUUUAUCGCCCUGAGAUAAGCCCGCGUAGGAUUAGCUAGUUGGUGAGGUAAAGGCUCACCAAGGCGACGAUCCUUAGCUGGUCUGAGAGGAUGAUCAGCCACACUGGGACUGAGACACGGCCCAGACUCCUACGGGAGGCAGCAGUGGGGAAUAUUGGACAAUGGGCGAAAGCCUGAUCCAGCAAUGCCGCGUGAGUGAUGAAGGCCUCCGGGUUGUAAAGCUCUUUUACUCGGGACGAUAAUGACGGUACCGAGAGAAUAAGCCCCGGCUAACUCCGUG